UAGUUGAGGUACCUGGAUCCAGACAAAACUCCAAACAUGUAAGAAUCUACCUUGAAGCAAGGUUUCUACUGGUUAAUGCGUUCCACCCUAUUGAUGACAGCUAAUGUUACUAAAAGCUUAGAUGAAGAAAGAGCUUCUGAGCGAAGGCUUGUUGGCGUGGAUUAUCUUGUUAAGCUCUGCAGAGAUGGUGAGCGUGAAGAAAGGACACUACCAUCAAAGAAAGACAG
rnacentral:lncRNA from 1 species